GUUACGCUAGGAGUGGGAAUUUUCAAAUACGGGAUCAUCAAAUAUAUGAACAACACAAAACUCUUGACAUUAGCAAGAGCUCUCGGACCAUCGUAUGUUAGAAUGGGAGGAACAAAAUCUGAUCAUUCACAUUUCGUCCCAGGAAAUUUUGCCCGUCAAAGUCGAGUUGUAAAUAAUGACACGCCUACAAUUCUGCCAAGAAUUUUAACCUUUUCGCCUCGCCGCACACAAAGGUCAAAUUCUACUAGCUUCACUCUUCACAGCGGUGGUAACUAGAGCUAAGGUCGGGUCGGGUCAAUUCAGUUAGAAAUAAACCAAACAAAAGAUGAAAGAGGUAAAGGCUACUGGAAAAAUAAUGCAUCAGACAAUCAAUGUAACUAUGUUCUAUGAUUAUUAUUUUUUCAUCAUUUAUUUAUUUUUAUAAAACUGUUAUGAAUCCACAACGUGGACCUUUAAAAAAAAAAAAAAAAAAAAAGACAAUCAACAAUUUAAAAAUGAACUGAAACACAGGUGGGCAAACUGGAAAACAUUGAAAUUCUUUUUUGAGAAUAAAACAAAAUGGUCGAUUGAAAUAAAGAAUAAGAUCAAAGAGUUCAGUGUUUGCUACUCAGUGAAAUUGGCUAAAGAAGCUCAAAAUGAGUACAACAACGAAAUGAACCAAUUAAAAGAGUUAAAAAAAAGGUUAGACAUGGGAAAAAGAGUUCUCACUCAAUUUAACAAAAUGAAGCAAAAUUUGGCUAAAAACAAAAAGAAAGAGAUAACAAGAUUCAAAUACCAAACAUGGCAGAUUCCUAUGAUAAUCAAGAAAAAUGGGGUCUCAUGUACUUUCUUACCUGAAUAACUUCUAGUGGGCGUGGCGUGACAAUUUUUGGA